UACAGAGGUCUCAAGCGUUGUUCGGAUUCAUUGGGCGUAAAGGGUGCGUAGGUGGCGGGGCAAGUCGGAUGUGAAAUCUCAGGGCUCAACCCUGAAACUGCAUUCGAUACUGCCUUGCUCGGGGACUGGAGAGGAGAUUGGAAUUCACGGUGUAGCAGUGAAAUGCGCAGAUAUCAGGAGGAACACCGAUGGCGAAGGCAGUGUUCUGGGCCAGUACUGACGCUGAGGAGCGAAAGCGUGGGGAGCAAACAGG
rnacentral:rRNA from 1 species